CAUUACAGAGUUCCUGCCCUCACGGGUAGAAACCCCACCCUUGUGUAUAUUAUAUUGUUGCUUUAGCAGGUCGCCCUCUGGGGCGUCGGCCUCGGCUGACUGUGCCUGCUAGAGGACCCUAAACUUUGAAAUACAGUGUCGUCUGAGUACUAUUUAAUAGUUAAAACUUUCAACAACGGAUCUCUUGGUUCUGGCAUCGAUGAAGAACGCAGCGAAAUGCGAUAAGUAAUGUGAAUUGCAGAAUUCAGUGAAUCAUCGAAUCUUUGAACGCACAUUGCGCCCCUUGGUAUUCCGGGGGGCAUGCCUGUUCGAGCGUCAUUUAGACCAACUCCCGCUCCGGCGGGGUCUUGGGCUGCGCCUUUGGGCGGGCCUUAAAACCAGUGGCGGUGUCCUAAGGCUCUACGCGUAGUAAUUCUUCUCGCGAUAGGGUCCUUGCGGUGUCUUGCCAGCAACCCCCAACUCUCUAGGGUUGACCUCGGAU
rnacentral:rRNA from 1 species